rnacentral:rRNA from 1 species
GUCCUCUUGUCUUAUAUGUGAGGUCUUACCUGCCCAGUGAUUCUUUUAACGGCCGCGGUAUUUUGACCGUGCAAAGGUAGCAUAAUCAUUAGUCUUUUAAUAGUAGACUGGUAUGAAUGGUUUGACGAGGUGCCAGCUGUCUCAGCUUAAUUUUUAUUAAAUUUAACUUUUGAGUUAAAAGGCUCAAAUUUUGUUGGAAGACGAGAAGACCCUAUAGAGCUUUAAUAUUUUUUUUAUUUUUAUCUAUUUGUUUAAAUAUUUGAUAACUUUUGAUUAAUUUUUUUAUUGGGGCGAUGGCAAAUAUAUAUAUAACUUUUGUAUUUAUUAUACAUUUAUUUAUGAUUUUUUGAUCCAUUAUUAUUGAUUAUUAGAAUAAGUUACCUUAGGGAUAACAGCGUAAUUCUCUUUUAGAGUUCUUAUUGAUAAGAGAGUUUGCGACCUCGAUGUUGGAUUAAGAUAAUGGUUAGGUGUAGCAUUUUAACUAAUAGGUCUGUUCGACCUUUAAAUUCUUACAUGAUCUGAGUUCAGACCGG